CCAAUAGCGUAUAUUAAAGUUGUUGCAGUUAAAAAGCUCGUAGUUGAAUUUCGAGAUCGGCUUACUGGUCGUGCUUUUGUACGUACUGGUAUAAUCGGUUUCUCCUUUCUGACGAACUAUAAUGCCAUUAAUUUGGUGUUAUAGGGAAUCAGGACUGUUACUUUGAAAAAAUUAGAGUGUUUAAAGCAGGCUCACGCUUG
rnacentral:rRNA from 1 species